AAUAAAACUAGUGUCAAAUUAAUUUUCUAUUAUGGUGGUCGUUUACAUAUUUAAGUUGUUUUAUUUAGAAAAUUAGUGUUUUAAGUAUAUUAAACACUAAUUUUAAUGGCGUUUUAGUAAGUGUAAAGUGAGUACUCGAAUUCCUGUCUCUUUUACUCGUGGAAAUCCUCCUCGUGGAGUCCUCACAGUACUUUGUAUUGAGGCUAGCAGGAACCCUAGCUGUAGAGCGGGACACAGGCCUUGUGCCAUCAGACUCUUCUCCGAUUGAUGCAAUGUGUGAAGUUACGGGUGGAUCAACCCCCGACCUAUCAGGAAUCAACGUCGAAAAAAGAGAACUAGAGCACUAUCCACACUUUCACAUGAAUGGACCGCGGCGCCAAAUCACAUUCGCACACAAACCAGAGAAAAAGCAUCGUCCAUAAAAAUUCGGCCUUUUAUAUAAUAUCAUACUUACUCCAAAAUAUUGCUUUGAAAAAGAUGGUAACCCGAUUCUUAAACAUAACUCUUGUGUACUCUGUUAUUCUGAUGGACGGACCAUGGUCAAGUUAUAAAUUAAUUUAAAAAAAGAACCUUAUUCACAAAGACAGGAGGCAUUAGUGCUUAAAGUAGUGUAACAUGAUUAAGUAUUUUUUAAUAAAGGACAUAAAAAAUGAGCUAUUUUUGGCCAAAUCUACUGAUGUUUUAAUAAUAAUGGUUAUUAGAAUUGAAUAUGCCACUAUUGAAAACGUGUUUAACAUUCCCAAAAAUUUCGAUAAAUAUGGCUGUGUAAGAUCUCCAAGUAUCAUUCCUGAA